rnacentral:lncRNA from 12 species
GGAAUAUUAGGAAAAUAGGAAAAAAAAAAAAAGAAAUAGGAAAAUAGGCAAAAAAAAAAGAGGGGGGGGGAAAGAAAAUGGGAAAUUAGGAAAACAAAAAAAGAGGGGGGGAAAGAAAAUGGGAAAUUAGGAAAACAGGCCAAAAAAAUAAAGGGAAAAAUUAGGAAAAUAGGCAAAAAAUGGGGAAAAGGGGCAAUUAGGAAAAUAGGCCAAAAAAUGGGGAAAAUUAAGAAAAAAGGCCCAAAAAAGGGGGAAAAAUAGGAAAAUAGGCCUGAGGAAAGUCAGGAAAAUAGGCCAAAAAAAAAAGGAAUUUAGAAAACAGGCAAAAUUAAAGGGAAAUGAGGAAAACAGGCAAAAAAAAGGGGGAAAUUAAGAAAACAGGGAGCUGGGGAGGCUGUUCCUGGCAGCGAGGCCGGCCCGUGCUGAUGCAAUUACCCCAAUUAACAGCCAGAUAAUUACGGGGAAUUAAUGGAGCUCUGCCAGGGCUGGGAAAGGCUCCGUGCCCUGAUUUCCGUGGGGUUUGUGGUGCAGCCAGAGCCCCUCUGUCCUUCUGUCCCCGUGUCCUUCUGUCCCUGUGUCCCUUUGUCCGUGUCCUUCUGUCCCCGUGUCCCUGUGUCUGUCCCUGUCCCUCUGUCCCGUGUCCCUCUGUCUGUCCCUCUGUCUCAGGUGGCUCCUGAGGGUUUCCUGCUCCUGGCAGGGUUUGGGUUUGGAACGUGGCCACCAAAAAAACCAGGAGAGAACAAAAGUGCCAAAAACUCCUCAGAGCUGGAAUCUGCUGUCCUGGUGUCACACACACAGAGUGUCACCUCAGCCCUGGGUAACACUGAGUGUCACCUCAGCCCUGGUGUCACACUGAGUGUCACCUCAGCCCUGGGGUCACACACACAGAGUGUCACCUCAGCCCUGGUGUCACCUCAGCCCUGGGGUCACCCAGAGUGUCACCUCAGACUUUGGGUCACACUGAGUGUCACCUCAGACUUUGGGUCACACUGAGUGUCACCUCAGCCCUGGUGUCACAGUGAGUGUCACCUCAGCCCUGGGGUCACACACACACAGUGUCACCUCAGCCCUGGGUAACACUGAGUGUCAC